rnacentral:rRNA from 1 species
GACGAACGCUGGCGGCGCGCUUAACACAUGAAAGUCGAGCGAGAACCGGGCCUUCGGGCCUGGGGACAUCGGCGAACGGGUGAGUAACACGUGGGUAACCCGCUCUCGACACCGGGAUAGCUCGGGGAAACCCGGAUUAAUACCGCACAGUCUCCGGAGCCCUAGGGAGCCGGAGAAAAGGUGGCUUCGGCUUCCGGUCGAGGAUGAGCCGGCGGCGGAUUAGCUUGUUGGCGGGGUAACGGCCCACCAAGGCAACGAUCCGUAGCUGGUAUGAGAGGACGAUCAGCCACAAUGGGACUGAGACACGGCCCAGACGCCUACGGGAGGCAGCAGUGGGGAAUCUUGCGCAAUGGGCGAAAGCCUGACGCAGCGACGCCGCGGGCGGGAAGAAGGCGUUCGGGUUGUAAACCGCUUUCAGGAGGGACGAAGCUACUCGGGUUAAUAGCCCAGAGGGUGACGGUACCUCCAGAAGAAGCCCCGGCUAACUACGUGCCAGCCGCCGCCGUAAUAC